GGGUCAUUAGCUCAGUUGGUAGAGCAGCGGACUUUUAAUCCGUUGGUCGGACGUUCAAAUCGUCCAUGACCCACCA
rnacentral:tRNA from 1 species